rnacentral:tRNA from 1 species
GCCCGGUUAGCUCAAUCGGUAGAGCGUGAGACUCUUAGCACGAGUACGCGAUCUCAAGGUUGCGGGUUCGACCCCCGCAUCGGGCU